GCAGCUGAUAUUUUGUAUAUUUAAGUUUUGCUGUCAAAUUUACAACUUUGUACAUUUUCUGUGAAAGUAUUUAUUAUUUUUGCAUAUCUUUCAACUGUUUUAAUACUUGUAAUUUGGGUUGUACUGUACAGUCUCACAUCUGUUUCCAGAUGUCACUGUAAAUAUUUGUUUUAAUAAACAAAGUCUGAUCUACCAGUGAAGACAUUUCAAUAAGUAGACGUUAUAAAGUAAUAACACUUUUACUAAUAAGGAUCACAAUAAUACAAAAGAAAUAUAUACAGCUGGUAAUAUCUGAAUGCAAUAUGUACCAAAACCAUUAAUUUAUGCAGACCAUCAACUGGAGCACAUGCUCAUGUGAUAUGGCCUGCAGCUGGAGAAUGACCUCGUUUGGCUGUGGCAUUGGCUGGAAUGCUCCAGAAUUGUAGCUAACAUCAGUGUGCCGUGAUUAUGGAUGUAAUGACUAUUUACAACAAUUUAAUAAUCAAUAGUGCUAGCAGAUGAGGUACCUUUUGACAUGACCAAAGGUCAUCUUUUCAAGCAUCAUACUUUUCCAAAUAUAACCCCAAAUUGGAAAAUCCUGAGAGGGUAUGGAGGGAAAAAAAAUUCCUGGUCAGCUUCCUUUCAUUUGUUAAUGUACAUCCAUUCCCACAUUUUAAGGCCUGCAGCACAUUCCAAAAAAAGUUGGGAGAAAAAUGCAAAUCCUUUCCAGUUUUUCUUUGAGGAACACAGUUUUUAAACAUUUAAAUUUUCUGAUGCAUUUUUUAAACUGGAGUUCCUUUGUCAUCGCUCCUCAGAGACUCGGCCUUUUGCGGCUACUGCUAUUGCACCCAUUCAUGAUUAUAGUCGCAUGUUGACAUCUGUUUGAAAGAACACAUUUGUUUUUACCUCAUGAGCACCUAAUUGACCCCAUUCCAACCUUUGGGGGAAUGUAUUAGAUGCCUCAAUUGCCCCCCCAAUUUUUCCAUACCAUCCCAACUUUUUCAAAUUUGGGGUUGUACAAAUUUGUAUGCAGGAGUGACACCACUGCAUCUACUUAACACCCACAUCACGCAAAAUGACAGCCCUAACAGAGGGGUAAAUACUUUCCUCUGUCCUUUAAAGACAGUUGCAUGCUUCCAAGUCCUCUAUGUAAAAUGCUGGCUGCAUACUAACGCCAUCAGGAAGUAAACAAUCAAAAGAAGCUUUUUUGUGUUUGCUUCCAACACUGGUACCUUUUCAAGGUAUGGAAUUCAAAAGGCAGAAUGACUUUCAAAAUUCCACCAACAUAAGUAACAUUUCCAAAACAAUACCCUGACAAUGGUCAAGAUGAAGAAAUCAACUGCCAACAGGUAAGAAUACUUAAACACAGAUUUACAGUAAUAUUAUUUUGCCCUGCAGUUACCUUAGUAAUGCAGAGUAAUACUGCAGUAUUCAGUGGACACAUACAGACUGUAACUCGAAUAUGGGCCUCUUGCUGCUCCCACACAAGUGACGAGAUAUGAGCUCAGUACCAAAAUAGCUCUAGCGUGUCCUAAAUUCUACAUUUAAAAAAAAUGUCACUGCUGUGCCUGUAAUAUCAAGGGGAAAAAGC